rnacentral:rRNA from 1 species
GACGAACGCUGGCGGCGUGCCUAAUACAUGCAAGUUGAGCGCUGAAGGUUGGUUCUUGUACCAACUGGAUGAGCAGCGAACGGGUGAGUAACGCGUGGGGAAUCUGCCUUUGAGCGGGGGACAACAUUUGGAAACGAAUGCUAAUACCGCAUAAAAACUUUAAACACAAGUUUUAAGUUUGAAAGAUGCAAUUGCAUCACUCAAAGAUGAUCCCGCGUUGUAUUAGCUAGUUGGUGAGGUAAAGGCUCACCAAGGCGAUGAUACAUAGCCGACCUGAGAGGGUGAUCGGCCACAAUGGGACUGAGACACGGCCCAAACUCCUACGGGAGGCAGCAGUAGGGAAUCUUCGGCAAUGGACGAAAGUCUGGCCGAGCAACGCCGCGUGAGUGAAGAAGGUUUUCGGAUCGUAAAACUCUGUUGGUAGAGAAGAACGUCGGUGAGAGUGGAAAGCUCAUCAAGUGACGGUAACUACCCAGAAAGGGACGGCUAACUACGUG